UAGCGCCAGGCCUGGCCUACCAGAUGGUGGGGUGGUUAUCUUCAAAGCCAAGUUACAUACAUGGUUAGUUCACCUUUGAUAGGUGGAUGAUCAGCGGGCGAUUUCCGUCGCAGAGAGUGUUUACUUUGCACCGAUGUGUCAAUGCUGCAGUAUGGUGAUGAAAACGACGUGGUCAUAAUCAACAUACCUACAUGAACAAAAUAUAGAGAAAGCAUGAAGUGGGAGGGAAAUUGUUCGAAAUCAAGUGGGGUUCUCGCCCCGAAAUGACAGUGAUCCCAACAUGUACCUACCGACACAGUAAGGCUUUUGCGAAAAGUUAUAACUACGUUGCCACUGCCAAUAACUGAUUAAGUACCUAAUUAAAUAACAGCCAUUACAGGAUUAAGAACAGGGGGUAUGGAUAGCUAACCACCCUAUCAGGUAUCUUGCAUACUUGUCCGCUGGUGUAUUCCAGUUUCAUCUGGCUACCCGUUCUUAUGUAACCGCUACUUCUAAGCCAGUUAUUUUUCGUUUGCUAUCGUUCUCCCCAGAAAGAAACUUGCAGAAACUUGCCUCGCCUGUCACAAGUUUCUCAGUUAUGAAAAAUAACAAAAAAUUAUACCCCACGGGCGGAGCAUCAAGUUAGUUAGUCGUGUAUUCACACUAACUAAUCUAUCCUCGAGUGGACAAGACUGGAAAGAAGCCUUACAAAACAACAACCAGGGCCACAUCCACACCUACCAUCUCAACACCUGACAGGCAUGAAGUGAAACAAACCAGAACAGACCAGACAGAAUCUCAAGAGCACAACCACGCAAAUAUUUAUACCGAGAAGAACCGAUAACCACUCAUUUCUCUCGCUACUUACGCGCAUCGGACCACGGAUAUUAUAACAAUACAACAAGACGCCUCGGUCAGCUCAACGUGCCUUCACGCUGAGAGGAGGCGAUGUUAUUUAAUUGAUGACGUUAUGAGCCUGAGGCAGUCAGUCACCGCUUCUUCCAACGCGGCGAGUGCAUUUCAAUUGCAUGCCCGUAACUCUUCUUGUCCGUUUCGUCUUUUUAGGUUGAUUAACUGACAUCCAAUUCUGACCUGAGAAAACCUACCGACAUCUAGUUACUGGGAGUUUCUGCACUCUCCACGGACCAUGGGCUAAGAUUUCCAUUGCACCAACAAACAUGUGUUUUUCAUCACAACCUUCCACCCUGCAAAACUCAGGCAACGAGGCUAGAGAGCGUAAGGCAUCAAUAGACCAAAAUUGCGGCACGGACAGCCAAUUAAAUUUGAGAUCCCAAAUUCCCUCCAUCAUUAUCAUUAAAGAUUGGCUCUGACUUUGCCAUCCCACACUCCCAUUCCCUCACUGCCACCAUGCGAGUCUGAACCAGCCCUAUAAAAAAUCCAUGUAAAAUAUAACGCGUUCGUGCCUUAUCAUAGGGCCAAAAGAAAAGAGAAGGGGAAAUGAAGACACGACAAGGGUGAUUUGAAAAAAAAAAAAAAAUCCUAGAAGAAAUAACAAUAACAACAAUGCAUGUUAUCACGCUGUGAUAAGCAGGGAACGCGGGGGACCAGGGACGGGCCGCGGUGCAUAAUUUAAUCUAGCCGAACUUGGCGUCUGCUUGCCAUCUGGUCUGGUCCUUUUCUUGAGCAGGGCAAAAGAGGAGGAGAAGACGGAAGCUGGAAUCACAGUUCAAAACAGGAUUCAUUUUCCUUGCUGUGUUGUUGGUUUGGGGCUUGGGGG
rnacentral:sRNA from 1 species